AUUUUCUUGUAUCACCAGAUAGUAGAUGGCCAAAUUAUUUGGAUACAAAUAUGUCUUGAGAAUAUCAUCAAAUCCAUUUUAAUUUCAUUCAUGCCUUAGAGAUAAUAAUUUGAAGAGCUAGUCACUGCUUGCAAUUAAGCGUAGAGAAAAUAGAUCUGUCCCAUAAUUUAUGUCUGCAAAGGUUGGGCUGGAUUUGUAAUUAAUGUUUGCUCCUUUUAAUGAAAUACUCCAAAGGUCUGCACUUCUGUCAUUCAUGGAGGUAAUUUUUCAAUUGAUUAGUAAAAUAAUACUUGAAAAGUAAAUGCACCUGCUUUAGCACAGAAAUGUCUUAGUCAGGUAGAGACAAUGAUUAGAGUGCUAAAAAAAUAUCAUUUCAAUACAGUAGAGACUGGAGUUUUACUCCUCCAGAAUUCAGAACUCCCACUAAGGAGGAAGAAAGAAAAGGUAAUUAAACCUCCAACAACUUAUUCAGCAUGCUUUUAUCCAAUUUAAUUCCUUGGUGGUUUUCGGCAUAGCUAAAUACUUUUAGGAGCACAUGCCUGAAAUGUGCAUUAGCACAAGUGAAAUAUCUUCAGUAAGCACGCAUUACAGCAAGACAUAAUUUUUAUAGCAGUGUACCUUAGUAUUUUUGGAGGACAUGAACAAAUAAUUUAAUAUUUUGAGUUUGUUUCCAUUUUGGAUAAACACUCAAAAUUUUAUGGCUCAUUUAGCUCCUAUUCUGAUUUUCUUUUUAGACUCAAACCUUUAUAAGACUAAAAAUGCGACACUUGAGAGUUAGGGUCCUGCAACUGCUGGUUAAAAAAUGGCUUGUAGUGUCCUUUCUAAAACAGCUGCUACAAAAGAGAAUAAAAUAUAUAACAAGCUACUUGUACAUGCUUUCAGGGAAUCUCUAAGGAUUUUGUUUGAAUUAGUCACUAAAGAAAGGAUGUUUGAUGACUUCUCUUGUUUUGUUAAUUUAGUCAUUUUGACACAAAGAGUUACUACUCCUGUACUACUGAGGCCUCACAGUCUGUAGUGAUGAACUUUCAAGGGAUGAUUGUGACCAGACUAGACAGACCGCAGAGUAUGAGCCAGAAUCCGUGCUAAUUUUCUUGAAGGCCGCAAAGAGUGUAGUCAGAGAGGUUUUGAACCACCUGUCAUUGGGACAAGGAUUUUGCUUCCAGAGAAGCAAGCAAGAGAAGCGAAUAAAUGUGGUGAAAAUAACCCUUAUCCAGUGUUAACUGUGGGAAGCAGAGCAAUCCAGAUAUUUUCUGGAUCGUCAUUUAUGGCUUCCUCAUCGAUAUGCUUUAUGCAAUGAUAUUUGGGCCAUGCUGGCACUGGCUGGCUCAGAAGACAGCUGCUGUGAGUCAUCUCUGAGGCACUCAGCUCUCCACAUGCAAUGACAGGAAGCCCAGUUUGAACCAGAUUGUACAGCAUCGUGUCCGUGAACUUCCAGAGUUCGCAUUAAAAACUGACAGAACAUCAGAGUGCCAGAAGCUUCUCAUAUUGUGGCUCAGGAGGACUCACCAUCUGGGACUCCAGUAGGAUACUUGAGGAAUUAUUGCUCCAGGAGUAACAUUUUGUGCUGUGACCAUAGGUGGUAAGCUAUGCCUGCAAGAACACAGGCACUCUGCAACUCCAUCUGUUUUUGCAAAUGUGUCUCAUUUCUUCAUGAAACUGGGUGUCUGCUGAAAAUGAGGAUGGGAAGAAAAGAGGACUCAAAAAUUGGAAACACAAACGUACAAAGUUUGCAAAGCAUGUGGGUAAGUAGGGGGCUGACUGAUGAGACAUUUCUAGGCCUCGCAGGGCCUUCCAGUAUACUCUAGCACCACUUGAAGCCUGCAGGACCCAAGUAGCCUUGUAGAGCCUUUAGAGCAGAGAGAAUGGCCAUGAGAGGCCUUUAGUUUGCACUGGGUUUCCUUCAGGUCAACCUGCAGGAUAGUGGAGAGGUGCGUAAGGCAUCUAAUUGGCAAUAGAGGACACUGGGAGGCAUCCGGGGGGCACUUGAGUGAACCAGGAGUGUUGG